rnacentral:misc_RNA from 1 species
AAGUUUCCCGUCGUAAUCUAUUUCCAUUCUUGCCCUUCUUGCUUCCUUUUUUAAAGCUUAUUUUGACAUGGGAAAUUGGGUAUUGUUGGGAGAGAGCUAAAAAGAGUGAAAAUGGGUUAUUUUUGAGGUUUUGAAUGGUGGGUAAGUUAAAGUUGUGAAGUUGGUUGAAGUUGAUGAGGCUGAGGCUGAAGUGGCUAAACAAAAAUUGUUAGCCCGCAGCCCUUAUAAAAUAGUACUAGUCCUUUUCUUUUUUCUGAUAUAUAUAGUGUAUGAAGAUGUUGAUGAUGAUGAUGGGUACACAUUUGUAUUUGUCCUGAUUUAUAGUUGAUGUAAGAUAUUUGGUUUGCCUUCAAAAAAAAAUCAGGACAAAUACAAAUGUGUACCCA